CAGUAGCCACGGUAAUACGUAGGGUGCAAGCGUUAAUCGGAAUUACUGGGCGUAAAGCGUGCGUAGGCGGUUCGUUAAGUCUGUUGUGAAAGCCCCGGGCUCAACCUGGGAAUGGCAAUGGAUACUGGCGAGCUAGAGUGUGUCAGAGGAUGGUGGAAUUCCCGGUGUAGCGGUGAAAUGCGUAGAGAUCGGGAGGAACAUCGGUGGCGAAGGCGGCCAUCUGGGACAACACUGACGCUGAGGCACGAAAGCGUGGGGAGCAAACAGGAUUAGAUACCCCCGUAGUCCCUGUCUCUUAUAC
rnacentral:rRNA from 1 species